rnacentral:rRNA from 1 species
CAAACGGGUGCGGAACACGUACACAACUUUCCUUUAAGUGGGGGAUAGCCCAGAGAAAUUUGGAUUAAUACCCCGUAAUAUUAUGAAGUGGCAUCAUUUUACAAUUAUAGCUCCGGCGCUUGAAGAUGGGUGUGCGGCUGAUUAGGUAGUUGGCGGGGUAACGGCCCACCAAGCCUACGAUCAGUAACUGGUGUGAGAGCACGACCAGUCACACGGGCACUGAGACACGGGCCCG